GGGCUCACUUUAGUAGCACACAUACUAAAAUCACAAUGAUAAAGAGAAGGUUGGCCCCUGCAUAAGGUUGGCCUGCAUUUUCUGGCUUCGUUGAAGUCUAAU
rnacentral:snRNA from 14 species